rnacentral:rRNA from 1 species
AUUGAACGCUGGCGGCAGGCCUAACACAUGCAAGUCGAACGAGUGGCGGACGGGUGAGUAAUGCCUGGGAAUCUGGCUUAUGGAGGGGGAUAACUACUGGAAACUGUAGCUAAUACCGCGUACCAUCGGAUGUGCCCAGUUGGGAUUAGGUAGUUGGUGGGGUAACGGCUCACCAAGGCGACGAUCCCUAGCUGGUCUGAGAGGAUGACCAGCCACACUGGGACUGAGACACGGUCCAGACUCCUACGGGAGGCAGCAGUGGGGAAUAUUGCGCAAUGGGGGCAACCCUGACGCAGCCAUGCCGCGUGAAUGAAGAAGGCCUUCGGGUUGUAAAGUUCUUUCAGUAGGGAGGCGUUAACUGCAGAAGAAGCACCGGCUAACUCCGUGCCAGCCGCCGCGGUAAUAC